rnacentral:rRNA from 1 species
AGAGUUUGAUCAUGGCUCAGGACGAACGCUGGCGGCGUGCCUAACACAUGCAAGUCGCACGGGCUUGGGGGGCAACUCUCAAGUUAGUGGCGAACGGGUGCGUAACACGUGAGCAACUUGCCCUACGGUGGGGGAUAGCCGGUCUAACGGCCGGGUAAUACCGCAUAUGGCGCCGAGGUCGCAUGACCUUGGUGGGAAAG